rnacentral:lncRNA from 1 species
GGAUACUCUCAGAAAGCAAUCAAGGGGUGUAUUGUCUGAUUACAUCGCCCGCAACCCAUUGAGGAUUAUCAACCGAUGAAGUUUGUUUCCCUGAUGAGGACAUCUCGAGGGGCUCCAAUCGAAAGAUUGAGAGUAGCCGAUCCCAGAGGAGGGGCCUGACCCUGAAUCCGAACGGAUUCUGAUGUCUGAUGGGGAGGUUAAGGUGAAUGAACUUUUGUU